rnacentral:rRNA from 1 species
ACGUAGGUGGCAAGCGUUGUCCGGAAUUAUUGGGCGUAAAGGGCGCGCAGGCGGGCGUGUAAGUCUGUCUUAAAAGCUCGGGGCUCAACCCCGAGAUGGGAAAUAAACUAGAUGCCUUGAGUGCAGGAGAGGAAAGCGGAAUUCCUAGUGUAGCGGUGAAAUGCGUAGAUAUUAGGAGGAACACCAGUGGCGAAGGCGGCUUUCUGGACUGUAACUGACACUGAGGCGCGAAAGCGAGGGGAGCGAACGG